GCACUAGUAGUCUAAUGGCUAGGAGUUACCCUACUUUUGUAAGGGACUAGUAAAUAGAAGCCUUCCAAGCUUCUGGUCGGGGUUCGAAUCCCCGCUAGUGCA
rnacentral:tRNA from 1 species